rnacentral:misc_RNA from 1 species
UAGAAUUCGGGGGUCAUCAAGGGCUCCCAUGAAAACACAUCUCUGUGUAUGCUUCCAUGUUGCUUCCCCAGAUCAGUGGCUAUCGCCACCAACCCAGAGCCCCACUCGGUGUAUGAGGUUGAGCUAUCUGGGGGAGGGCCCAUUAUCAAACUUUUACCUAAUCUGUCGUCUGACAAGGCCUUGUGCCACAAUCAUUAAACAUGUUA